GAUGGAUUCUGAGACACGAAUCCAGGCCCUACGGGGUGCAGCAGGCGCGGAACCUUUACAAUGUGCGAAAGCAUGAUAAGGGGACUCCGAGUGCCAGCAUCUAAUGCUGGCUGUCCUUGUGCCUAAAAAGCACAAGAUAGNCAAGGGCCGGGUAAGACCGGUGCCAGCCGCCGCGGUAACACCGGCGGCCCGAGUGGUAGCCGCUAUUAUUGGGUCUAAAGGGUCCGUAGCCGGUUCGGUAAGUCCUUUGGGAAAUCUGGUUGCUUAACAAUCAGACUGCCAAGGGAUACUGCUGAACUUGAGANCCGGGAGAGGUAAGAGGUACNNAAGGGGUAGGAGUGAAAUCUUGUGAUNCCCUGGGGGACCAUCUGUGGCGAAGGCGUCUUACCAGAACGGGUCUGACGGUGAGGGACGAAAGCUGGGGGCGCAAACCGGAUUAGAUACCCGGGUAGUCCCAGCCGUAAACGAUGCUCGCUAUGUGUCAGGUACGGUGCGACCGUAUCUGGUGCCGUAGGGAAGCCGUGAAGCGAGCCACCUGGGAAGUACGNUCGCAAGACUGAAACUUAAAGGAAUUAAAGCGGGGCAC
rnacentral:rRNA from 1 species